UGGAGGGACUAUGGGAUGGGUGAGGCGUAACUGGUAGGUGGGUGGGAGAUGGUGCCCCAUAUGUGGAAGUGGAGAGGUCGGAGAAGCAAAACAUUGGUUGGAGACACACCACCCAGCAGCUUUCCCCGGGGAAAGCAGUACAUGAUCGAAAGCUGAAGAGACGAGUCCUUCUGUAUUGUGCAGGGUGUGGUUGGAAUAGACAGCUGCAAGCUCUUUUUCAUAAAUAUUUACAACAGUAUUUAGAGUGUAACAAAAUUCAUAUUGAAGUUAAUAGGUAACUUUGGGUAAUUGCAUACUUGUUACUUGAAACGCUGUGCCUUUAUCACAAAGCUUGUGUAUGUUUCCAUUGCACCCAGAAAGCAAAAUCUGAACUUUUUAAGUGUCCAAAUAGGUAUUUUAUCUACAUGUGAGUUACCUGGAUUGACAAUUAUCUAGGAUGAUGAAGUUGUAGCCCAAAAACACCAGCAAGCUACAGCUUGCUUUCCUGAUAAAGCAAGGCAAUUUAAAUCAGCAAGAAAAAUAAAAUUAUUAGUUAAAAGAUCUUUAACCAAUCCUUGGUUUAAAUCAUGGAUUUAAAUCAGUUUUCACAUUGUUACUUCAUAUGUGCAAAACAAUGAGGUGCUUUCUUUUUAUUAGAAUUCUGAGAGCUACCACUGGAGUACAAAAGGCACUUAGAAUUAAAGAAUUUUAAACCUAUGAAACAAUUUUGAAUACCAAAACUGGAUCAGGCCCUUAGGCUCUCUACCAGGAUUAAGCAACUGGUGGCCCUCCAUGUAUGUUGGCCUACAAUUUCUAUCUGUUGCAGCCAGCAUAGUCAGAUGUAAAGCAUGAUGGAAGAUAUAGGUUGAAGCUUCUGGAGUGCCAACAGGUUUCCCACCCUGUUCUUUAUAAAUAUCCACUUUUGGUUAGACAGGUUUUCAUUUCAGCAGUAUAAUUUGGGAGUUCAACCUUUUGUUACUGUUAAACAAUGGUGUAAGAAAUACUUGAUCCACUGCAAAUCAAGUAGAUCUUGAAUUUCUGCUUAUCCCUGAUCUGGAUUCUGUCUUGCUCUCCUUCUCAUCUAGAUGGUUCUGGUUUCAAGGCCAAUUCUUUGAGGAAACAAACUGGGCAGUCACCUAAGGUGCCAAGAGAUACAGCGUGCCAAAUCGCCCGCAGAUGAACCCUAAGCAGGCACUAGCAGUACUGGCAAAGCUUGUCAAGCAGUAAAGAAAGUAAUGCAUUGACCAGUCCAGACUGCAACUGCAUUUUAAAUCACAAUAUUUCUCCUAAUGUGAGAAUAUGAUGAUGUCUAUGGCCCUGCUAAAAAGAAUCUUCAUAGUCUUCUUCAAAUCUAUUGUAGAGGUUGGGCUGUAAAACACAAACAAUAAUACCUCAGUUCAUGAACGCUUCUGUUUGCGAACAAUUCAGUUCACAAACAUAAAGUAUGGCAAAAAUUUGCUUCCAUCCACAAACUCCGCAUCGGGUGAUGAACACGAUUGCGGCCAUCUUCCCUGCACGAACUUGAUCGAGGCCAUCUUCUUCACACUGCGACCAUGUGUCAGAACGUGUUCGAGCGGGGAAGAUGGCUGUAAUCGUGUUCCUGCGAACACAAACGUGGCCAUCUUCCCCACACGAACAUGUUCGUGGCCAUCUUCCUUGCUCUGACUCAUAGUCGCAAACUUCCUCUAGUCGAGCUUGUGGUCGCAGACUCUCCCUCCAAACAAUAACCUCCUCCCUGCCCACCUUCCUGUCCUCCAUGCCAGAAGUCACCUCAAUCAAGGUGUUCUCAAAUGAUGAUGAGGCCCUUAUUAACAAAAAGUUACCUAAAGAACUUCUAUUAAGAAUAUUUUCCUUCUUGGACAUAAUUACUUUGUGUCGAUGUGCACAAGUUUCUAAGUCCUGGAAUGUCUUGGCCCUUGAUGGAAGUAACUGGCAAAGAAUAGACCUUUUUAACUUUCAAACAGAUGUAGAGGGCCGAGUGUUAGAAAAUAUUUCCAAAAGAUGUGGUGGGUUCCUGAGACAACUAAGUCUGAGAGGCUGUCUUGGGGUUGGUGACUCUUCCUUGAAAACAUUUGCACAGAACUGUAGAAACAUUGAGCAUUUGAACCUUAAUGGAUGCACAAAAAUCACUGAUAGCACUUGUUACAGUCUUAGCAAAUUCUGCCCAAGGCUAAAACAUCUGGAUUUGACAUCUUGUAUUUCCAUCACAAACAGCUCUUUGAGAAGUCUAAGUGAGGGAUGCCAAAAUCUCGAAUUCUUGAAUCUCUCCUGGUGUGAUCAGAUUACAAAAGAUGGUAUUGAAGCACUGGUGAAGGGGUGUAAUGGACUAAAGGCACUGUUUCUCAGAGGAUGCACACAGCUAGUAGAUGAAGCACUUCACCAUAUUGAGACACACUGCCAUGAACUUGUUAUUUUAAACCUACAGUCAUGUAUGCAAAUAUCAGAUGAUGGCAUAGCGGCUAUCUGUAAAGGAUGUCACCAACUCCAAUCCCUUUGUGUUUCUGGGUGUACAAACCUUACAGAUGCUUCUCUCAUAGCCCUUGGUUUGAACUGUCCAAGACUGAAGAUUCUGGAAGCUGCAAGAUGUUCCCAUCUCACUGAUGCUGGUUUUACACUUCUAGCACGGAAUUGCCAUGAACUAGAAAAGAUGGACCUAGAAGAAUGUGUUCUGAUAACAGAUAACACAUUGAUACAGCUUUCCAUUCAUUGUCCUAAACUGGAAGCAUUGCCCCGUUACGCAUCCCUCUCUUCUGGGGUUCACAGCUCUCUGGAGUGGAUUUUACAGCAAGGCACUAGAGAAGUUGAAUUGACUCCACUGGGGGAUGCAGUCAGUGUGGUUCUGUCAGCAGGGACACACCAUAUGGAGUCUCCCAUUGAAUUUGACUGCAAACAUGUUAAGGCCUGCACUUGGAACUGAAUGAUGACUAUCAAGCUGAUUUAGUUUAAUGUUACUUUUCUGGAGAAAAGAGAAUCUUGAAAGAAUUUUUUUCUUUAUAUUGUAGAUGAUACCAUGUUAUGUAUUUAUUAUUGUGGCCUUGCAGAAGAAUAAUGAACUCACUGGAGGCACUUAAGACCCAGUAGUUGACAUCCUGUAUCUUACCGGGUUCACACAUUUAACCCAUACACGUGGGUUUGUACUCCUGUUUUAUAUGAUCCAAGUAACUGAGCUUUACAAUAUAUCACACACUUCACAAGCUUUAUAUUGUCUAACCACAUCCCAGUGGUUCUCUCUUUUCACCAGAUCUCCAUUAUGCUCACUAGACCUGCUGUUCUACUUUGUAAACAAAUGCUAGGAUUCCCCCUUCUUGGCCUGGCAGCUUCUACAAUUAGCAUAUGAGCACCUGCAUAUGGGGUCCCUAUCCAAAUGUCUCUGGCAUGCAUAUUUCCACAUGUGUAUUGGGCCUCUGCCUGGCUAGCAGGGCACACUGCAUACUUACUGCUUUGUUAUACCUCAUCACUUCAGUCAGAAACAUCUUCAAUUUCAUAUCCUCUAGGGAUGCCUCAUCCCACCCUGGACCCUCCCUGGCUCCUGUUAACUUCCUCUAAGGAUCAGUUUAAAAGCUGCUGUGCCACUUCAGUGAUUAAGUGCCAGCAGUCUCGUUCCAUUUUGUUUCAAGUGGAACUGGUGCCUUUUGUACAGACCCAGGUUGUCCUACAGUGUUUUCUGGCGCCCAACACAUCCAGUACAUGAAGUGAAGCCCUGCAGCUCUGCCUGCCUAGCUGGUCCUGCACAUCGAACAGAGUUUGUCCCACUGUGAACUGAUCACAGAUGAUGGGAUUCUGCAUCUAAGCAGCAGUACAUGUGGACACGAAAGACUCCAGGUACUUGAGCUGGACAACUGCCUUCUAAUCACAGAUGUGACUCUAG